GUGACUUACGCUGGGGUGGACUGAUGCUAAGGUUUUCCAAUGUUGCCUAUCUCGUUGGUUAGGAUUUGUUGGAUUCUUUCAGACAGCGUUAGGAAGUAAGAGAAAAGAAGUGAUGGGAAAUGGACACCUAGCCUCACUGGAACACGUGGCCGCUUGUGCAUUGUUCUAUUACUCGCAGCGUGGUUAGUUCAAACAUAGACAAGCGUAAAGGAGAAAUGAGCAAUCGAUCGUGGAUCUUCCAAGGAGAACUGAGGCUACAAAAACACCACCAAUAAAGUACUUUUGAGUUUAAACCACGUUCAAAACGGAAAACUUCUCCCGCCUGCCUAAUUUAUGUAAAUUAUGUCUUGAAAACUUUACGCACGCUUUGAAACUUAUUUAUGAUCAUCCAUCCUAAAUUUGAAGGUUAAAUGUCAUACUUUCACAAAACGGACUAAAUGUUUUUAUUACUAUAAUUGUACUUUUCGCCAUCGGUCAGCUCGCGUUUCGACAUUCUUCUCGUUUAGCCCUGAUCGAACAGUCAGAGUUAGGUAAAAUUGCUUUCGGACAGAACACGUUUUUUCACUUUUUCAGUAAAAUGUCUCU
rnacentral:lncRNA from 1 species